rnacentral:rRNA from 1 species
AUUGAACGCUGGCGGAAUGCUUUACACAUGCAAGUCGAACGGCAGCACGGACUUCGGUCUGGUGGCGAGUGGCGAACGGGUGAGUAAUGUAUCGGAACGUGCCCAGUCGUGGGGGAUAACGUAGUGAAAAUUACGCUAAUACCGCAUACGAUCUAUGGAUGAAAGCGGGGGAUCGCAAGACCUCGCGCGAUUGGAGCGGCCGAUAUCAGAUCAAGUAGUUGGUGGGGUAAAGGCCCACCAAGCCAACGAUCAGUAGCUGUACGUAAGAGGACGCAAGCCACACUGAGACGGAGGAACGGUCCAAACUGCUACUGGUAGCAGCAAGGGGGAAUUUUGGACAAUUGGCGAAAGCCUGAUACAGCCAUUCCGCGUGCAGGAUGAAGGCCCUCGGGUUGUAAACUGCUUUUGUACAGAACGAAAAGGUUUCUACUAAUACUAGGAGCUCAUGACGGUACUGUAAGAAUAAGCACCGGCUAACUACGUGCCAGCCGCCGCGGUAA